UGCAAGUCGAACGGAAACGAUGGGAGCUUGCUCCCAGGCGUCGAGUGGCGGACGGGUGAGUAAUACUUAGGAAUCUGCCCAUUAGUGGGGGACAACUCGGGGAAACUCGAGCUAAUACCGCAUACGCCCUACGGGGGAAAGCGGGGGAUCUUCGGACCUCGCGCUAAUGGAUGAGCCUAAGCCGGAUUAGCUAGUUGGUAGGGUAAAAGCCUACCAAGGCGACGAUCCGUAGCUGGUCUGAGAGGACGAUCAGCCACACUGGGACUGAGACACGGCCCAGACUCCUACGGGAGGCAGCAGUGGGGAAUAUUGGACAAUGGGCGCAAGCCUGAUCCAGCAAUGCCGCGUGUGUGAAGAAGGCCUGCGGGUUGUAAAGCACUUUCAGUAGAGAAGAAAAGCUUAGGGUUAAUAACCCUGAGUCUUGACGUUACCUACAGAAGAAGCUCCGGCUAACUCCGUGCCAGCAGCCGCGGUAAUACGGAGGGAGCGAGCGUUAAUCGGAAUUACUGGGCGUAAAGCGCGCGUAGGCGGCUUUGUAAGUCGGAUGUGAAAGCCCCGGGCUUAACCUGGGAAUUGCAUUCGAUACUGCUGAGCUAGAGUAUGGUAGAGGGAAGUGGAAUUUCCGGUGUAGCGGUGAAAUGCGUAGAUAUCGGAAGGAACACCAGUGGCGAAGGCGACUUCCUGGGCCAAUACUGACGCUGAGGUGCGAA
rnacentral:rRNA from 1 species